UCAAGAGUACGUGAAACCGUUCAGGGGUAAACCUGAGAAACCCAAAAGAUCGAAUGGGGAGAUUCAUCGUCAGCGACGUUGGCUUCCGUGCGGCUCGCGAUGGUCGGGAUUUGGUCUCGCGCCACGUGGCGCCGCGGUAUGUCCAGCGACGUCGGCGUGCACUUCUCCCCUAGUAGGACGUCGCGACCCGUUGGGUGUCGCCAAUGGCCGGUCGGUCGUCUGUUGCGGCGCGGCAGACCGACGUUCAACGUCCGGCUGCCCGGCGGUAUAGAACGCAAUCGGUAAUGGGCCGCAUCGAAUGCGUUAGGCUCGGCGACAGGCUCGUCUCACUCGGAUACGGACCUAGCGCCGUUUCCAGGUGCUUGGCGUGGCUUGGUCGUCGGUGUCCUCGGACUGGCUCUUACCGGUCUGCGACGCUACUGCUUUGGGUACUUUCAGGACCCGUCUUGAAACACGGACCAAGGAGUCUAACAUGUGCGCGAGUCAUUGGGACUAAAGCCUAAAGGCGCAAUGAAAGUGAAAGUCGUCCUGACGACCGAGGGAGGA
rnacentral:rRNA from 1 species